rnacentral:rRNA from 1 species
AGUGGCGGACGGGUGAGUAACGCGUGAGAAUCUGCCUUGGGGUCGGGGACAACCACUGGAAACGGUGACUAAUACCGGAUAAGCCGAUUGGUGAAAGAUUUAUUGCCCGAAGAGGAGCUCGCGUCUGAUUAGCUAGUUGGUGAGGUAAGAGCUCACCAAGGCAGCGAUCAGUAGCUGGUCUGAGAGGACGAUCAGCCACACUGGGACUGAGACACGGCCCAGACUCCUACGGGAGGCAGCAGUGGGGAAUUUUCCGCAAUGGGCGAAAGCCUGACGGAGCAAGACCGCGUGAGGGAGGAAGGCUCUUGGGUUGUAAACCUCUUUUCUCAGGGAAGAAGCUCUGACGGUACCUGAGGAAUCAGCCUCGGCUAACUCCGUGCCAGCAGCCGCGGUAAUACGGAGGAGGCAAGCGUUAUCCGGAAUUAUUGGGCGUAAAGCGUCCGCAGGUGGCGAUUCAAGUCUGCUGUCAAAGCACGGGGCUUAACUCCGUAAAGGCAGUGGAAACUGAAUAGCUAGAGUGCCGUAGGGGUAGAGGGAAUUCCCGGUGUAGCGGUGAAAUGCGUAGAGAUCGGGAAGAACAUCGGUGGCGAAAGCGCUCUACUGGACGGCAACUGACACUCAGGGACGAAAGCUAGGGGAGCGAAUGGGAUUAGAUACCCC